CUCUAAGGUGAGCAGCAUCUCUAUCUCAUGCUCCCACCAUGGUGUACUGGGCUGUCUCAGGCCCAAAGCAACAGGCACAAGUGACCAUGGACUGAAACCUCUGAAAUGCCAUGAUGCUGUUUUGCCCAGGUCUGGCUCCUGCCCCUGUGACUCAUCAAAGACAGCUGAUUGGGGGAAGCAGACCACAGCAGUGGACUCCAAGAGGAUUCUGGGAACAAACUGAGGCCAACUUGCUGUGUGUGCAAAGUUCACAGAAGCCCACUCCAGACCUUCCCUUCUCUCCUGCCAUGGCAUGCUGGGGCGUCUGCAGAGCUGCUUGCUAAACAAGGCAUCAGGGAAACUCAGAGCCUUGUUGGAGCCCAGACACUCUUGGAUGUCAGGACCAAUCUCACUCACCGACUUCGUUAAGAGAUACGGAGCCAGCU